rnacentral:rRNA from 1 species
GUGGGGAAUAUUGGACAAUGGGCGCAAGCCUGAUCCAGCCAUACCGCGUGGGUGAAGAAGGCCUUCGGGUUGUAAAGCCCUUUUGUUGGGAAAGAAAUCCUGUCGGUUAAUACCUGGCGGGGAUGACGGUACCCAAAGAAUAAGCACCGGCUAACUUCGUGCCAGCAGCCGCGGUAAUACGAAGGGUGCAAGCGUUACUCGGAAUUACUGGGCGUAAAGCGUGCGUAGGUGGUGGUUUAAGUCCGUUGUGAAAGCCCUGGGCUCAACCUGGGAAGUGCAGUGGAUACUGGAUCACUAGAGUGUGGUAGAGGGAUGCGGAAUUUCUGGUGUAGCAGUGAAAUGCGUAGAGAUCAGAAGGAACAUCCGUGGCGAAGGCGGCAUCCUGGGCCAACACUGACACUGAGGCACGAAAGCGUGGGGAGCAAACAGGAUUAGAUACCCGAGUAGUCC